GAUGAACGCUGUGCGGCGUGGAUAAGGCAUGCAAGUCGAGCGGUCAUAUAACUAGCUUGCUAAUUAUAUGAUAGCGGCAGACGAGGUAGUAACACGUGGGAACGUACCCCAAAGUCAUGAAUAAGCCAUCGAAAGGUGGUCUAAUACAUGAUAUGUCUCCGGACGAAAGGUUUACCGCUUUGGGAGCGGCCCGCGGGAUAUCAGCUUGUUGGUACGGUAAUGGCGUACCAAGGCUAUGACGUCUAGGGGAGGUGAGAGCCUGACCCCCACCGAUGGAACUGCGACACGGUCCAUACACCUACGGGUGGCUGCAGCCGAGAAUAUUCCGCAAUGGACGAAAGUCUGACGGAGCGACGCCGCGUGGUGGAUGAAGUCCUUAGGGACGUAAACACCUUUUAUAGAGGAGGAAGUUUAUUGACGUUACUCUAUGAAUAAGGGGCUCCUAAUCUCGUGCCAGCAGGAGCGGUAAUACGAGAGCCCCAAGCGUUAUCCGGAAUCACUGGGCGUAAAGGGUGCGCAGGCGGUUAUGUUAGUCCCGUGUCAAAUCUUCCCGCUCAACGGGAAACCGGCAUUGGAUACGGCAUAACUAGAGGAUGUGAGAGGUGUGUGGAACUCUCGGUGUAGGGGUGAAAUCCGUUGAUAUCGAGGGGAACACCAAAAGCGAAGGCAGCACACUGGCACACUCCUGACGCUCAGGCACGAAAGCGUGGGUAGCGAAUGGGAUUAGAUACCCCAGUAGUCCAUGCCCUAAACGAUGUUCUCUGGUUUUUGGGAGUAUCGACCCUCUCAGAGACGAAGCUAACGCGAUAAGAGAACCGCCUGGGAAGUACGAUCGCAAGAUUAAAACUCAAAGGAAUGGACGGGGACUUGCACAAGCGGUGGAUCAUGUGGUUUAAUUCGACGAUAAACGAAGAACCUCACCAGGGCUAGAAACCCCAACGAAUACUUGUAGAAACAUAAGUAGUCUUCGGACGUUGGGGCAGGUGAUGCAUGGCCGUCGUCAGUUCGUGGCUUGAGCUGUUCCGUUAAGUCGGCAAACGAACGCAACCCUCGUCGUCUGUUUUACAUGUCAGGCGAGACCGCCCAGCCCGGUGCACACGAAGCAAUAUGCUUCGCGAACACCGGGCUGGGAGGAAGGAGAGGAUGACGCCAGGUCAGCAUGUCCCUUGAUGCCCUGGGCUACACACGUGAUACAAUGGCCGAUACAAUAGGCUGCGACGGGGUAACCCUGAGCGAAUCCUAAAAGUCGGCCUCAGUUCGGAUUGAGGUCUGCAACUCGACCUCAUGAAGGUGGAAUCGCUAGUAAUCGCGGGUCAGCAUACCGCGGUGAAUACGUUCUCAAGUCUUGUACUCACCGCCC
rnacentral:rRNA from 1 species